rnacentral:rRNA from 1 species
AUUGAAUGCUGGCGGCAUGCCUUACACAUGCAAGUCGAACGGCAGCACGGGUGCUUGCACCUGGUGGCGAGUGGCGAACGGGUGAGUAAUACAUCGGAACGUACCUUAUCGUGGGGGAUAACGCAGCGAAAGCUGUGCUAAUACCGCAUACGCCCUGAGGGGGAAAGCGGGGGAUCGAAAGACCUCGCGCGAUUAGAGCGGCCGAUGCCUGAUUAGCUUGGUGGUGGGGUAAAAGCCCACCAAGGCGACGAUCAGUAGCUGGUCUGAGAGGACGAUCAGCCACACGGGGACUGAGACACGGCCCAGACUCCUACGGGAGGCAGCAGUGGGGAAUUUUGGACAAUGGGGGCAACCCUGAUCCAGCAAUGCCGCGUGAGUGAAGAAGGCCUUCGGGUUGUAAAGCUCUUUUGUCAGGGAAGAAACACCGGCUCUAACACAGUCCGGGAAUGACGGUACCUGAAGAAUAAGCACCGGCUAACUACGUGCCAGCCGCCGCCGUAA